UAAGCGUGUAGGCUGGUUUUCUAGGCAAAUCCGGAAAAUCAAGGCUGAGGCGUGAUGACGAGGCACUACGGUGCUGAAGCAACAAAUGCCCUGCUUCCAGGAAAAGCCUCUAAGCAUCAGGUAACAUCAAAUCGUACCCCAAACCGACACAGGUGGUCAGGUAGAGAAUACCAAGGCGCUUGAGAGAACUCGGGUGAAGGAACUAGGCAAAAUGGUGCCGUAACUUCGGGAGAAGGCACGCUGAUAUGUAGGUGAAGUCCCUCGCGGAUGGAGCUGAAAUC
rnacentral:rRNA from 1 species